ensembl:lncRNA
CCAGGCCCGGCCAGGGCAGGCCAGGCCAGGCAAGGCAAGGCUAUGCAAGGCAAGACCAGGCGAGGCAAGACAAGGCCAGACAAGACAAGGCCAGGCCAGGAAAGGCCAAGACAGCCAAGGCACUGUAAAACAAUGCAAGGCAAGGCCAGGCAUUUAACCCCAAAACCAUGCAUUUUCUCAUAACAAAUCCCGUAUUUAAAUGAGAAACACGCAUUUUCAUUUCAAAAAUACCCCAUUUAAGCCCAAAAUUAUGCAUUUUCCCUUGGAAAAUUCCCCAUUUAACCCGAAAAUCAUGCAUUUUGUGUUCAAAAAUCCCCCACUUAACCCAAAAAUCAUGCAUUCACUCUACAAAAAUCCCCCGUUUAUCUCAAACAACACGCAUUUUCUCUUCCAAAAUCCCCCAUUGAACCUGAAAAUCAUGCAUUUUCUCUUCAGCUACACCGAAUUUUACCUGAGAGUCAGGACUUUUUUUUUUUUUUGCAGAAAUCCCCCGUUUAUCCUGAAAAUCACGCAUGUUCUCCGCCAAAAUCCCUCAUUUAAACAAAAAUCAAGCACUGUCUCUGCAAAAAAUCCCUCAUUUAAAUGAAAAUCAAGCAAAUUUCUCUGCAAAAAUACACAAUUUAACCCAGGAAAGAUGCAUUUUCUUUGCAGAAAUCACCCAAUUAACUGAAAAUCACGCAUUUUUUUCUUCAAAAAUCUCCCAUGUAUCUCAAAAAUCAUGCCAUUUCUCUACAAAAAUCACACAUUUAAUGCAAAAAUCAGGCAUUUUCUCUUAGAGAUUAGACGAAUAACAAAAUGCUUGAUUUUCGGGUUAAAUGUGGGUUUCUUGAAAAGAAUAUGCAAGAUUUGGGGGGUAAAUGGGCGAUUUUUGAAGAGAAAAUGUGUGAUUUUCAGUUUAAAUGUUUGCAUUUCUAGGAGAAAAUGCAUGAUUUUCGAUCAAAUGGGGUAUUUUCAAUGACAAUGUGUGACCUUGCCUUGUCUUGUCUUGCAUUGCCUUACCAUGCCUUUCCUUGGCUUGCCUGGC